UUUAAGUAUGAGUUGUAUUAGAUACGUAAAUUAAAGUCAGACAUCACGUAAAUAUUGUAAGCCGUUAACAUUCAGAAUAAAAUGCACUGCUCCGCAAACCACAAAUUGAGAGCCCCUGCACACGUUUGCGUUCCAUCCGUCAACCGAGAAGAACGACCGAUCGGUGACGCUCACACAAUUUCACAUACCUGCACACCAUAAGACCACCCUCUGCAUAGCAUCGAGAACGUGCACCAGAAAACAACAUCCUCACAAGACUGCCACCACCACACCGUCAAGCUGGAGAAGAGAGAUCGCUCUCUGCGCUCUUUUACGCACACAACCGUCACACACGCCACGACGGGGGAGACGAUUGCGAAUUCGAGGCCAGCUCACUCAGUUAGUGUCAGCCCGCCGAAACGACAGUGCACGCAAAUCGAAAGAGUCCGGUCUUCGUUGAAACGAAAAACUUAGCCGUCCAUCUUGUGAAGUUUGGUAGGAUAACCGCGUGUGGUUCCUCGAGUGAAAUUAGUGCCAGGCAGGAGGCCCACCAUUUGAUUCCAGCCAAGGGAAAUAGAGCGCACAGAGGGACACACGGACCACCAUUUUGCAUUUCGGUUUGCAGAAACCACGUUGCCCAGGGUAAAAAA